rnacentral:rRNA from 1 species
CCUGAGAAACCCAAAAGAUCGAAUGAGGAGAUUCAUCGUCAGCAUAUUUUGUAUAUGUGCAAGUUAUGAUGUGAGUUACUUUCGAGUAUUGCUUAUACAUGCUGGUACAUUUGAUUGCAAGAUAUUGUCGGCGUGCACUUCUCCUCUAGUAGGACAUCGUGACCCGUUGGGUGUUGGUYUACGACUUAAGGUGGAGACUUUAACAUUUUUAUAAUGUUGAAGACCCUUAAUGUUUUCUGACCUGCUACCCGACGGUACUCUUACGGUAUUUAGUCGCAUUUGUAUGCGUUCGUAUCCGUUGCAAGUGAGGUUAAUUUCUGGUAGUGCGGACUUUGUGCCGUCGUUGGAAUUAACCAGCUGUUGGCUAUACGGAAUUCUAGAACUGACUAAAAAUAAUAACCGGUCGACGAUGCUACUGCUUUGGGUACUUUCAGGACCCGUCUUGAAACACGGACCAAGGAGUCUAACAUGUACGCAAGUCAUUGGGAUU